rnacentral:misc_RNA from 1 species
UUGAUUUUAGUUAUUUGCUGAACGUACUACGAACAAACAAAAAAAUAUUAUAGUCAAAAAAAAUUAAAUCA